rnacentral:rRNA from 1 species
GACGAACGCUGGCGGCGUGCCUAAUACAUGCAAGUAGAACGCUGAAGGAGGAGCUUGCUCUUCUGGAUGAGUUGCGAACGGGUGAGUAACGCGUAGGUAACCUGCCUGGUAGCGGGGGAUAACUAUUGGAAACGAUAGCUAAAACCGCAUAACAGUAGAUGUUGCAUGACAUUUGCUUAAAAGGUGCAAUUGCACCACUACCAGAUGGACCUGCGUUGUAUUAGCUAGUUGGUGGGGUAACGGCUCACCAAGGCGACGAUACAUAGCCGACCUGAGAGGGUGAUCGGCCACACUGGGACUGAGACACGGCCCAGACUCCUACGGGAGGCAGCAGUAGGGAAUCUUCGGCAAUGGACGGAAGUCUGACCGAGCAACGCCGCGUGAGUGAAGAAGGUUUUCGGAUCGUAAAGCUCUGUUGUAAGAGAAGAACGAGUGUGAGAGUGGAAAGUUCACACUGUGACGGUAUCUUACCAGAAAGGGACGGCUAACUACGUG